UCAAGAAACUUCCACAAUGGGCGAAAGCCUGAUGGAGCGACGUCGCGUGAUGGACGAAGUGCUUCGGCACGUAAACAUCUUUUAUGUGGGAUGAAAUUAUUGACAGUACCACAUGAAUAAGGGGCUCCUAACUCUGUGCCAGCAGGAGCGGUAAUACAGAGGCCCCAAGCGUUAUCCGGAAUCACUGGGCGUAAAGGGUGUCGAGGCGGUUGUAUUAGUCGUUCGUAAAAUCUACGAGCUUAACUUGUAGGCGGCGAACGAAACGGUACGACUUGAGGUUUGGAGAGGUGCGUGGAACUCACGGUGUAGGGGUGAAAUCCGUUGAUAUCGUGGGGAACACCAAAGGCGAAGGCAGCGCACUGGCCAAAAUCUGACGCUCACACACGAAAGCUAGGGUAGCGAAGAGGAUUAGAUACCCCCGUAGUCCCUGAGCGGGCUG
rnacentral:rRNA from 1 species